rnacentral:rRNA from 1 species
UACGGGGGGGGCAAGCGUUGUUCGGAAUUACUGGGCGUAAAGGGCUCGUAGGCGGCCAACUAAGUCGGACGUGAAAUCCCUCGGCUUAACCGGGGAACUGCUUCCGAUACUGGAUGGCUGGAGUGUGGGAGAGGGAUGCGGAAUUCCAGGUGUAGCGGUGAAAUGCGUAGAUAUCUGGAGGAACACCGGUGGCGAAGGCGGCAUCCUGGACCAUUACUGACGCUGAGUGAGCGAAAGCCAGGGGAGCAAACGGG